UGACACCUCACAUGACUGUCUCCCACCUUCUGGCAUCUCAGUACUGCCUUGGCUUCCAAAAGAGUGCACUCUCCCGAUUCUCCCCUCUCAGUAAAUAAAGCUGCUGCCUCUCUUGGUGGCAUCCUUAAGUGCCACCAAUUAUGAGUCUGCACCUUAAAUGCGAGACUCCACUCUAAGCCCACAGCUCUUCUCCCCGCACUCUUGGGAAAUCACCUCCACCCAUCAUCAUCACCAUGGUUUCAACUGCCAAAUCAGACAUUUCCAGCCUAUACCUCUUCCACAAAAGUUAGACCCAAAUAUCCAACUGCUUGCCAGGCAGCUCUGUCUAGAUAUCUCAGGGGUACCCCAAACUCAGCAUGUCCAAAACAACUCAUCCUCUGCCUCCAUAGCAGCCCCUCCCUCCGCUGUUGACACCACCAUCUACAGGCAUCAGAAUCGGAAAGCUGGGAAUGAGUGAGUCAUUCUUGAUUCAGCCCUUUGCCUUAUGCCAUCACUCGUCCUAUUUAUUUCACCUCCUUAGAUCUCUACCUCAAAUCUCUGCCUCCAUUCCUACUGGUGGGAGUUCCAGCCAUCCUUUCCAGCCUGAACCGUUGCAGCAGCCUCCUAAAGUCUCCUGCAGACAAACUCAGCCUCCAUUCAGCCUCCAGAGCGAACUCUCUAAAAUGCGCUUCUCUUUAAAAUCCUGCAGAGGUUCCCCUGGCUUCUGGCCGCAGUGCGGACCUACAAGGUCACCUUACCUCCUGUUUCACUGAGAAAAUGCAGACCAUCAAGAGGGAACACCCACGGAUCUACACAUUAACCCACAUCAGCAUCCGCUGUCUCUCCCUCACUCCAGUUUCUGCCAAGGGGCAAUGCCCCCUCCCAAGAGACCUAACCCUUCACAGAUGAGAAACUGAGGAAACUUUACAUGUAUGAGUUCAUUUAAUCUUUCAAACAAUCCUAAGAACUCCUGGCCGAGACCCAGCCCAUGAUGGUGCUCAGUAAUGUGUGCCGAGUAACAAUGAAUGAGAGUUCCUGUUGCUCCACAUCCUCACCAGCAUUCGGUAUUGUUAGUGUUCUGGAUUUUGGCCAUUCUAGUAGGUGUGUGGAGCACAUAACCAGCAGCUCAAUCCUCUCCUGAAGACCAGUGAAAGGCGUGUUCCCUUUCCACUCUGUCAGCUGUGCUCCACCGCUCUGAGACACCACGACCGACAUCCUGGACUGAGGCAAGGCCCCCUUCCCCGGCCUCAGAGCGCUCCAGCAGAGGGCUGCCCGUGCUUGCUCAGCUGGCACGCUGACUCACUCCCGACAGUGUAGUACCAGACAAACUGGAAUCUGUCCACCCUUUGUGGCCUGACAUCAUCCCACAAUUAGCCGGUUUGAAUCCAGCCACACUGAGAAGAUACUAGAAAAGCAGCCCCUCGUCGUCCAGUUGUCUCGUUCACAAAGCCCUGGGACUUCAGGGCCCUCUGGGGAGAUCGAGAGCCAUCUCACAGAGGAGCUGACUGUGAGGGUCUUUACUCCGGAGCUUUCUUCCCCAACUUGUUUCUCUGAAAAACUUCGAACCUACAGGAAAGUUGAGAGAAUAAUACAAUGACCAUGCCUCUACUAGUCACCUAGAUUCACCAACUGCUCCCAUUUCAUCACAUUUGCUUUAUCUCUUUCCCUCCGCUUACAUAUCCACCUGAAAAAUAUAUACUUUUUUCCUGUCGAACCAUUUAAAAUAAAAGUUGCCAAAUCAUGAUGCUUCUGUG
rnacentral:lncRNA from 1 species